UACGUAGGGUGCGAGCGUUAAUCGGAAUUACUGGGCGUAAAGCGUGCGCAGGCGGUUCUCUGUGUCCGAUGUGAAAGCCCCGGGCUCAACCUGGGAAUGGCAUGGGAAACUGGCGGGCUGGAGUGUGGCAGAGGGGGGUGGAAUUCCGCGUGUAGCAGUGAAAUGCGUAGAGAUGCGGAGGAACACCGAUGGCGAAGGCAGCCCCCUGGGCCAACACUGACGCUCAGGCACGAAAGCGUGGGGAGCAAACAGG
rnacentral:rRNA from 1 species